CGGACGGGUGAGUAACGCGUGGGUAACCUGCCUCAUACAGGGGGAUAACAGUUAGAAAUGACUGCUAAUACCGCAUAAGCACACAGAAUCGCAUGAUUCGGUGUGAAAAACUCCGGUGGUAUGAGAUGGACCCGCGUCUGAUUAGCUAGUUGGUGGGGUAAAGGCCUACCAAGGCGACGAUCAGUAGCCGACCUGAGAGGGUGAUCGGCCACAUUGGGACUGAGACACGGCCCAAACUCCUACGGAAGGCAGCAG
rnacentral:rRNA from 1 species